rnacentral:rRNA from 1 species
CGCCGCGGUUACACGAGGGACCCAAGGUGAUAGUCAUCGGCGUAAAGCGUGGUUAGAAUAUUUUAAACUAAACUAAAGCCGAAAGCCUUCAUAGCAGUUGUACGCUCACGAAAACAGGAAGCCCAAUCACGAAAGUAGCUUUAUGACAUUUUGACCCCACGAAAGCUGGGAAA